rnacentral:tRNA from 1 species
GGGUGGAUGGCCGAGUGGUCUAAGGCGCUGCGUUCAGGCCGCAAUCCUCGCGGGCGUGGGUUAGAAUCCCACUUCAGUCU